ACCAGGUUGAUUCUGCCUGACGUGGAUGCUAGUCUCAUAGGUUAAGCCAUGCAUGUGCAAGCGAAGCGUAAGUGGAGCGGCGCAAGGCUCAGUAACGGGCGAGUAUUUGAUCUCCUAGAGUGGAUAUCCUCUGUAACCGGAGGGCAAAACACAAGAUGAGCGAUUGACGAGGUCGUUCGUUUAACGAAUAGUGUAGGAGAGUAAGAAGCCAUCCCAUCAGUUAGUAAGUAGGGUAAGGGCCUACUUAGACGAAGACGGGUACGGGGAAUUAUCGUUUGAUUCCGGAGAGGGAGCCUGAGAGACGGCUACCAGGUCCAAGGACAGCAGCAGGCGCGAAAAUUACCGCAGCCUGCAUUCAGGGCGGUAGUAAGGAGACGUGAAAACAAUGUGCGGGCAAAAAACGCACUAGAUACAGGAGGACAAGACUGGUGCCAGCACCCGCGGUAAUACCAGCUCCUGGAGUGUCUAUGAUGAUUGCUGCAGUUAAAGAGUUCGUAGUCGAAGUGGUUAUAACGGUGUAACAGGCCUUCUCUCAAGGAGGGUUAUGCGCCGUGAUUCCAUGGAAUAAGGAGCGUUUAGGGGCCAGGUUAUUAAGCGACGAGGGGUGAAAUCUGGUGACUCGCUUAGGAGCAACAGAGGCGAAAGCGCUGGCCAGGAGCGAAUCCGAUGAUAAAGGACGUAGGCUAGAGGAUCGAAGACGAUUAGAGACCGUUGUAGUUCUAGCAGUAAACGAUGCCGAUACCGUGGUGCGGAUACGCGACGCGGAAGAGAAAUCGAGUAGGGCCCUGGGGAGAGUACACGCGCAAGCGAGAAAUUUAAAGGAAAUUGACGGAAGAACACCACAAGGAGUGGAGUGUGCGGCUUAAUUUGACUCAACGCGGGACAGCUUACCAGGCCCGACGGCCGGACGAGUGUUGUACACGAUAGGUCGAAGAGUGGUGCAUGGCCGUUAACGACGAGUGAGGUGACUUUUGGGUUAAAUCCGGGAAGUAGUGAGACCCCCUACCGAAAGGGACAGGUGCCGAAAGCACAGGAAGGAAGGGUCAAGAACAGGUCAGUGAUGCCCUCAGAUGGUCUGGGCUGCACGCGCACUACAGUGGUCAUAGAAAUGAAACGAUAGAAUUAAAGAUGAUCGAGAGGGAAUGAGCUUUGUAAGAGGCUCAGGAACGAGGAAUUGCUAGUAAUCGCGGACUCAUUAAGACGCGAUGAAUACGUCCCUGUUCUUUGUACACACCGCCCGUCGUUAUCGAAGAUGGAGUCAGGCGCGAACAAGCGAGAGCGAGUGAGUGCAGGAUUCUAGAUGUGAUACAAGUCGUAACAAGGUAACCAUCUUUUCUAGAAAGAUCCCC
rnacentral:rRNA from 1 species